CCUAGGGUUAAGAGCAUAUCACGAGAUGACAUACGGUUCAUGCAGUUACCGAGUGAAGGAGUACGUCAAAAUGCAGAUGGGCACCUGGAGAUGCCCCUCCCCUUUAAGACACGUUGAUUUCAAGGCUGAUUAUCCCUUCACUCUAAAAUGUGACAAGUUGAGCUUACUUAAAAGAAUCUAGGAAACCGAUUGCACUAAAGAAGCAACCUGUGGUUGACCCUGGCUCAGCAAGGCACGGGUGCUUAGCUAUCAGUGCUGCAGCAACAGUGGUGAAGUGUUCAUCUUGAGGAUGUUGCUGUAAGGACUGCGUUUUGAGGUGCAUGUCUUGCCAACAAAUGCUGCUGCACAUUGUCUGGGAGGGAAGAAAUCAUGACACUCUUUGCUUUGUCCAAUUCCAAUGCUGGUUUAAAAAAUGAAGCAGAAUCUAAAUGGGAAAUUCCUUUAUGGCACGAUUCAUCAUCUCAAGUGUGAAGAACUUCUUUUUUAUGAAGUCCUGAAUGCAAAGACACAGCUCAGAAGGAACAAUGCCUUCAAGCAAAUCAUGGAGGAUAUCAGGGGGGAAGCCAUCAACAACAUGAAAGUGUUCCAAAUGAACACUUAAAGGACAGCUCCCUUUGACACCAUAUUGCUUUGACAUCUUGGCAUCCUGCUGGACUUCCCGCACAUGCCGGUCAUGGUCUUGCUUUGUUCUCAAGCAGAAGUGACCAGACCUAACUUCAUUAUCUUGUAUGUCCUGCCGUGUAGCCAUGCAAAAGCGGCAAAUCUUAUCAGAGACAAAACUUUCAUGGAAUCCUGCUAAUGAAUGAGCAGCCAAAUUAUCUGCUGCAAUAUACAAAACUGUUCCUCUGACACUUGAGCCUAAUCUUUCAACAUAAACACCAUGCUUCUCAAGAAGCACUAGAUCCUGAAGGAGUGGAUGAAGGACUUCAGAGUACCCACAUGCUUUGACAGUGUUUGUCUUGCAAAGAAGAGCUAACUGUAUUGAGCUGAGAGAGGAACGGAAUUUGGGUGCAAGAUUUACUAGAACCCAAUAUACUGCACAGAUUUUGUGUUUAUUUUUAGAGGUCCCCAGAGGGUUUGCAACCUCAAAGUCAUCAAUGUAAAGUGCCAAGGCAAUCUGAAAAUGUU